UUAAAUUGAAGAGUUUGAUCAUGGCUCAGAUUGAACGCUGGCGGCAGGCCUAACACAUGCAAGUCGAACGGUAACAGGAAGCAGCUUGCUGCUUUGCUGACGAGUGGCGGACGGGUGAGUAAUGUCUGGGAAACUGCCUGAUGGAGGGGGAUAACUACUGGAAACGGUGGCUAAUACCGCAUAAUGUCGCAAGACCAAAGAGGGGGACCUUCGGGCCUCUUGCCAUCAGAUGUGCCCAGAUGGGAUUAGCUUGUUGGUGAGGUAACGGCUCACCAAGGCGACGAUCCCUAGCUGGUCUGAGAGGAUGACCAGCCACACUGGAACUGAGACACGGUCCAGACUCCUACGGGAGGCAGCAGUGGGGAAUAUUGCACAAUGGGCGCAAGCCUGAUGCAGCCAUGCCGCGUGUAUGAAGAAGGCCUUCGGGUUGUAAAGUACUUUCAGCGGGGAGGAAGGUGUUGUGGUUAAUAACCGCAGCAAUUGACGUUACCCGCAGAAGAAGCACCGGCUAACUCCGUGCCAGCAGCCGCGGUAAUACGGAGGGUGCAAGCGUUAAUCGGAAUUACUGGGCGUAAAGCGCACGCAGGCGGUCUGUCAAGUCGGAUGUGAAAUCCCCGGGCUCAACCUGGGAACUGCAUUCGAAACUGGCAGGCUUGAGUCUUGUAGAGGGGGGUAGAAUUCCAGGUGUAGCGGUGAAAUGCGUAGAGAUCUGGAGGAAUACCGGUGGCGAAGGCGGCCCCCUGGACAAAGACUGACGCUCAGGUGCGAAAGCGUGGGGAGCAAACAGGAUUAGAUACCCUGGUAGUCCACGCCGUAAACGAUGUCUACUUGGAGGUUGUGCCCUUGAGGCGUGGCUUCCGGAGCUAACGCGUUAAGUAGACCGCCUGGGGAGUACGGCCGCAAGGUUAAAACUCAAAUGAAUUGACGGGGGCCCGCACAAGCGGUGGAGCAUGUGGUUUAAUUCGAUGCAACGCGAAGAACCUUACCUGGUCUUGACAUCCACAGAACUUUCCAGAGAUGGAUUGGUGCCUUCGGGAACUGUGAGACAGGUGCUGCAUGGCUGUCGUCAGCUCGUGUUGUGAAAUGUUGGGUUAAGUCCCGCAACGAGCGCAACCCUUAUCCUUUGUUGCCAGCGGUCCGGCCGGGAACUCAAAGGAGACUGCCAGUGAUAAACUGGAGGAAGGUGGGGAUGACGUCAAGUCAUCAUGGCCCUUACGACCAGGGCUACACACGUGCUACAAUGGCGCAUACAAAGAGAAGCGACCUCGCGAGAGCAAGCGGACCUCAUAAAGUGCGUCGUAGUCCGGAUUGGAGUCUGCAACUCGACUCCAUGAAGUCGGAAUCGCUAGUAAUCGUGGAUCAGAAUGCCACGGUGAAUACGUUCCCGGGCCUUGUACACACCGCCCGUCACACCAUGGGAGUGGGUUGCAAAAGAAGUAGGUAGCUUAACCUUCGGGAGGGCGCUUACCACUUUGUGAUUCAUGACUGGGGUGAAGUCGUAACAAGGUAACCGUAGGGGAACCUGCGGUUGGAUCACCUCCUUACCU
rnacentral:rRNA from 1 species